GGUUCUCGUAUGAUCAACGAAGUUAAGCAACAUCGAACCUGGUCAGUACCUAGAUGGGUAACCACUUGGGAAUACCAGGAGCUGUAAG